GGAGAACCUGCCCUCNGGAGGGGGAUAACCCCGGGAAACUGGAGANUAAUACCCCNUANGUCUAGAAUGCUGGAAUGCUUCUAGGCCCAAAGCUCCGGCGCCUGAGGAUGGCUCUGCGGCUUAUCNGGUUGUAGUGAGAGUAACGUCCUCACUANCCUAUGACGGGUACGGGCCCUGANAGGGGAUGCCCGGAGAUGGACUCUGAGACACNAGUCCAGGCCCUACGGGGCGCAGCAGGCGCGAAAACUCCGCAAUGCUCGAAAGAGUGACGGGGGGAUUCCAAGUGCCUACGCUUAGCGUAGGCUGUUCAGAUGCCUAAAAAGCAUCUGGAGUAAGGGCUGGGUAAGACGGGUGCCAUCUGUGGCAGCAGCCGAAGAUUUGGUUUGCUACUGCAAGGCAUAAGCCGCCGCGNUNAUACCCGCAGCCCGAGUGGUAGUCGAUUUUAUGGGGCCUAAAGCGUCCGUNUCCGGUCUGAAUAAUGCUUGGGUAAAUCGUCUGGCUUANCAGACGAAUUCCGGGUAGACUGUCAA
rnacentral:rRNA from 1 species